rnacentral:lncRNA from 1 species
ACUGUCGCGAAGCUCCCGCCCAAGCCGACCACGUGCCGCGAGCCCGGCGGGGAGAGCCCACUCCCGCGCCCCUUCCGGGCCCACUACCCCGCCGGGCUGUGGCCCAUCGCCCCAGUGCCUGGUAGCCUAGUUUUCUCGUUUGUCGUUUGUUCACUUAUUUAUUAUUAUUAUUAUUAUUUUGACUCGUAAUGGGUAUGAGGUGUAAGGGGGCCUAUUACGGAUGUUAAGGGGAGAGGGCACCGCUCGGGUUUUAAUAAGCAUCUGUGGAGCUCAUUUAUAAGAUUGGCAUCCUCUGCUUCUGCAGAAAACAUGGCUACCAACAGCUUCUGUAUCCACCUGCGGAGGAGACUGACUGCUCUGUUAUUCCCCCAGCAUCUGUGAAGAGGCUCUGACUGGCUAAAGUGAAGGAGUCUGUAGCUUUAGGGGAAGACAGAGCCACAAGAUGGAAGGAGCUUGGAUGUCUGAACUAUUCCAUGGAGAAAAGCUGCAGCCAACGAAGAACACCUGCAAUGGACUCUUAACCUGGGGGUGACGACAACCACUGAAAUAUGCUGCAUCUUAGUCCAGGGAUUUUUAAAGUGUGGUUCCUGGAAGAGCUGGAUCAGAGUCAUCUGUGUUGAUGGUUUAACAUAAAGAUUUUCGAGCCCCAAGACUCAAGUAGGACAAGGAAUUUGAAUUUUUAAGCAGCUCACCUGACUUGUCUGUCCUCUAAUGUCUGAAGACAUCUGACCUCUGCUCUUUCAGUAAAAGCAACAAUGGUUUUAUGAGCAUUGUCGUCACAUCUCUCCACUCAAGGGAUCCUUCUCAUUUCUCCCAGCUGAGGUCACCCACAGCUGCUGCUUCUAACUGCUGGCUUCCAGCCUGCUGUCUGCCAGCUGGCUCUACCCUCUCCUAUAACACGGCAGAGAGUAGCUGUGGUCUCCUGCGUGCUCACCCUCUGCUCCCUUGGUCCUGCUCCAUGCUUUGGUCCUGCACUUAAAUUUUACAAGCAUACUCUCUUUCUCUUAAGAGAAACCUGAUACAAUUUCAAGGUGGAAUACUUGCAGUGAUGGUCAAGAUGAAAGAAUGAUUUUCAAUGCCAUUUAGAGGAAAUCUUGGGAUCAACUUGGGAAAAGACGGAGGCUCCUGGCUCUGAUCUUUGGGGACUUCAGAUUUUCUGGAUCAAGGGCCAGAAGGACUCCACCAAAUUUCAACACUAAGAUAACCACCUGUUACCAGUCAUCAACAAAUAGUUACUGAGGACCUGCCAUGCAUCAGGAACUGCAGAUGCAGGAAAUAAUAUGGACAACAGACACAGAUUCUGCCUCAUUACUUUUGUAGUUUUCUAGUGUUCAACUCUUGAUAUACAUAUAAGAUCCGCAUCAUCUGUUAAACAUAGAGCUUAGAUCCUCUCAUGAGAGUUCAGGCGCAUUCAGGGUGAUGUGGCUGUAGCCUCUGAUUCUCUUAGAUUGGCAGUGAAGGAAGAAUCGCUACAAAGGCAGGAUCCGCUGCACUUCAGAAUCUCACCUCCUGGCCCUAAAAUCCACCUUGAAGAGUCCUUGCCUCCUGCCCAAGUAGCCACAAACUACUCUCCAAAAAGCACAACUCUUCCUUCAACAAGACUCUUUUCUUCAAAAACCACAUGCAAAGUGAAGUCUUCACUGG